rnacentral:lncRNA from 1 species
CAGCAGAGCAUAAUCAGGACGACAUGAUCUUGGCUGUCUUCUUACUUUUCAUGCUCUCCAUCAUAUUCCUGAUACCACUUUCCCACAGCCAUGAGGUCUUGGGAGUGAAGUCACACCUGCCCUGCCUAGAGCCAGACAGAAGAGGCGUUCUGGGAGCAGUAGGAGGUGUCUUGUACAAACCACGGGCUGCACCGUGGUGCUGCAGUGGCAGAAGGCCAAGUGGAAGGAUCCCAGUGCUUCCUCCUGCAGGAUUCCUGCUCUCCUUGCAGGUGGUCUGGUGAGGAAGGUGACACCAAACCGCUCUCUAGAGCUCAGUGCAUUUUCUCCUGGCUGGCAGCUGGGGUCAGAGUGAGCUGUGUGUGCCCUCUGUGCCAUUCCAGGUGUCCCUGUCCCUGCCUUCAGUGGGGUUGCCAUGUCAGCACAGUCAUUUGGCUGACACUUGCCCUCCGUUCCAGACUGGAGGAAGGGCUUUAACCCAGCCUGAGCACUGUCACUUUUCACACUGGAACUUCCUAAGGUUCUUACCAUAAAUUUCCUUUUCUUUCUAAGGUAUAAAAGUCUCCCCCAAGCUUUAAUGUGUUGACAAGAGAUUCCAGCCAUUAAAUUCAAACAUCCCGAUCCUGCACUCUGAUUUUCUAAUGCAAGUUGUGGUGGAUCCAUGGAUUUCAGCAGCAUUUGUGUGAGCUCAGUUGUUUCAGCACUGUAAGAGUGGAAGUUGGUGAUAUGUUGGGGUCAAGCCAGCUCAGUCAGUGGGUGGCACAGAAGACAGAGCUCUUGUUUGCAGAUAAAUCAAAACAAGCACCGGGGAACCAGUUUCUGAAGGAGAAAAACACUCCUGAAUAAGGGCUAACUUUUAAUCAGAUUUUUAAAUUCCCAACUUGGUAUUUUUUAGCUUUAGAACUCCUUGAAGCCACUUUUUGAUAAUAAAACUGACCUACGGGCUGUUUCCUUGGAAGAAUUUAAUAUAGCCUUAAAUCAUAUCAGCACAAUUCUGAAAUGACAGGGUCAUUGUUCAGUGGUCAAAAUAAUGUGUAAAAAAUGUCUUCUAGUUUUUAACCAUUAGAUAACCUUGAGUAAUGAAAACAAGAGGGAAAAGGUUCUAUGCCUUCAUCCACAAUCUGACCAUAGCAAAACAUCCAGUGCAGGAAAAUAAGAUCAUUCCCUUCUGUUUCUGUAGUAUUCAAAAUGUCUGAUAAUUUGUUCUUAAUUUGCAACUGCUAUUCCAGUAAGUUGGUGUUUUUUGCCCAAAGUGAUGUGAGCUGCACAGUCUGCAUUUGCAGUGAUGUCCCCUUUAGUCCACACCAGAGCAAAAUGUUUAAAUGUUUGGUUUUCCCCUAUAAGCCGUUUCCUGAUCCACAUUUCUGUUGUGGCACUGUGCUGUUCCUGUUUCCAUACAAUGCCCAGGGCUGGAUGAAUGCUUCCCAAGUGUGGUUUCACCUGAGCCAUUAAGUGAGCAGUUCUGUUCCUUUGCUGUAGUCAUACCUCUGUAGGUGCAGCUUUUAAAGGUAUUGGCCUUUUUUGUAGCUUUAUUUAUUGAAAUGCUGCUCAGUUCUUGUCCCUCACUCUUAAAUUCCUGUCCAUCAUUUCUUGCAAUUCUUUCUUACAGAGUUUUUCACUCUGAAUUGCAAGGAUCAUUUUUAUAUUCAAUAUUUUUGUAUUUUCUUGGAAUCAAAUCCCUUCACUUGCCAUGAUGGUUGUUUACCUCCUGUUUUUACCUACACCUGCUGUCCUGCUGUUUGCUGCUGCAAGAAAAAAAACCCCAAAACCCCCCACAUUUGCCAGGCAGCCUGGAGCCUUUCACAGUGCAGUAGCAGCAGCCACAGCCUUGACCAGGUGGGCUUUGUCAUCUCUUAAAUCUCAUUUAUGUGGGGUAGGAAAUCUUUGUGCUACUGAUAGCAGUCUGGAAUUCUAAUAGGUUGUAGCUUAAUGGUUUUCUUUGGUUGGUUGUUGUUUGGGGUAUUUUUUCCCUUCAUUUUCUAUAUUGAACCAUUAUUCUACAGGUGAAUAAAAGCAGUAGGUUUUGCUGGAAUCUACUCUGGAAAAGAAGGCAGAUUGAAAAGUUGGACACUUAAUAUACUUGAUUGUAUUUAAAUAUCUGGUAGGUGCUUUAAAGUCCUCAGAAGGUCUUCUGGAAGCGAAUUCCAAAGCUUAGAAAUGUGAAGAUUAUUUCUUCAGGACUUACUGAUACUCACCAGUUCUAUCUGCCUGCCCUGUGUGUGACUAAGGACAGGUGAAACAGCAGAAAUGGGAAUAUUUUGCUGAAGGGAGAGUUGAUGCUGUGUGAAAUCCCUGGGGAACUGGAGAUGUGCUCUGCCUGGCCCCACACACCCCUCCGGCAGCAGCUGCUGAGCCACAGGGCUCCCCGGGCACCAGGAGCUGCUCCGAGCAGCAACUUCAGAUUAAGUAGCAUGUAAAGCAUUUUCUAUUCUUCUUCCUCUCUGAGAUCUGUACCGAGUCCAAUCCUCUGAGCAAAUAAAGGCAGGGAGUGGGCUGAGCGAGGGCCUUCGCAAGCUGCUUCUGUGAAUACUUUCUACCUCUUGUUCAUUGUGAGAGCUGCCCUGGGCCAGGCCAGGCUGCACAAAUACCUGCUGCGGCUGUUUGCUGGGCAGGCACGGGCAGUCCCUGCCUCCCUGGGGAUAAAUGGAAUCCUUUGAGGUACCUGUGUUUGCAUCCAAGUGAAGGAACUGGUGUUUUUCAGGUGGCACCAUGAGGAAUCGCAUUUCUCCUCAGCCUCUCGUGCUGCCUCCCGUGUGAAGUAGCUUCAAAUCCUCUCACAAUUAAUGUUCAAAUAACGCAGCAGUUGCAGGGAGGGAUUUGGUUUUCCAGCUGUUUGGUGAGGGUUUAGAAAGGGAAAUGUGGGAAUGUGAAAAGCUAGGAUUCUGCAGAUCAACCCAGGUGUUAAUCUAGAACAAAAAAAAAAUGUUACUGAUUGCUACUGUGGUUGUGUGUAAGACUGAAAUGCUGAAAGAGAACUGUAACCCUCCCACUCCGAGUCUGAGAGAGACCUGGCGUUGGCAUUCUGAACACUUCUGCAACCUGAACCAAAAACCUGCUGUGGGAAUGUAGACUUACCAUAGAGCUGUGGAAGAAAACUUCAAUCGUGUCACUUCUCUCGGUCUUCAGAGCAGUCAACAUGGUUUUGAUGUAGGUUUUAGAUUAUGUAUAUAUAAAUCUGAUUGAAGUACCAACAGCAAACCAUAAAUAAAAUGUGGACUUAAU